UGCAUCAGCCCGGAGUCGAACCCGGGUCAACUGUUUGGGAUACAGCUAUUCUGACCGUUAAACUACUGACAC